rnacentral:piRNA from 1 species
UUUAUCUGCCUAUUCCUUCAUGUAG